ACACCAUCUCAAUGGUGUGUGGCAUUGGGUUUCAAUUCCAGGAGAUGGAUAUACCUAUCAUCCGUCAGUGGUGGUGCCUUCUACUCAUGGAACGAUUUCAAAUUGAUGGCUAUGGGCACAGAUUUGCUUUCUGGACUGAGGAGGCAAGAAGUGUCUUGGAUGGAAAGAUUCGGCUCCUUUUUAGGGUGAAAAGAAAAACCACAUCCAAUCUUCCGGCACAUGUCCAAGAAGUUCAAGAUCGGGAAAGGAAUGACAAAAGAUUAGUGGACUUGAUUAUCACAUCAAAAUCAGCAGAGCAGCAUUUGGUGGAUAUACUCGGUGGAAAAAGGUCAAAUUGGUUUCCACUAAAACCCCGUUCUCAAGUGCCUGUCUACAUUGAGAAUGAGCAGUCCCAGUCAAUCAUUUGUGACUACAUAAGAGGAAUUCUUAAUAAAACCAAAACACAGCUGACCUUCAAUGAUGAGGUGGAGUUCAUUUGUGGAUGUCUCCUCCCAGAGGUAAUCACAAAACAUGUAUGUACAUGAGCAUGCUUAUGUUCUGCAGUGUGUGUUUUAUUUUAUUAAUUGGUUUAUCUGUAUGUUUGUACAGGCCAUAACUUAUGGCAUUUCCAAGUUACAAGGCUUGUCUUGGCAGGAGGCUGAAGAUGUCUUCCUCCAGGGCCCCAUUUAUCACGCAAGUGAAGUUGAGAAAUUUAACAGAAGAAUUGCUCGAGAAAUGAAAAAUCUCCCCAACAAGAAUUUAAAGCAUUUUAUUUUA